rnacentral:rRNA from 1 species
CCUACGGGUGGCAGCAGUGGGGAAUAUUGGACAAUGGGGGCAACCCUGAUCCAGCCAUGCCGCGUGUGUGAAGAAGGCCCUCGGGUUGUAAAGCACUUUCAGUGAGGAAGAACACCUGGUGGUUAAUACCAUCAGGAAAGACAUCACUCACAGAAGAAGCACCGGCUAACUCCGUGCCAGCAGCCGCGGUAAUACGGAGGGUGCGAGCGUUAAUCGGAAUUACUGGGCGUAAAGCGCGCGUAGGUGGCUUGAUAAGCCGGUUGUGAAAGCCCCGGGCUCAACCUGGGAACGGCAUCCGGAACUGUCAAGCUAGAGUGCAGGAGAGGAAGGUAGAAUUCCCGGUGUAGCGGUGAAAUGCGUAGAGAUCGGGAGGAAUACCAGUGGCGAAGGCGGCCUUCUGGACUGACACUGACACUGAGGUGCGAAAGCGUGGGUAGCAAACAGGAUUAGAUACCCGGGUAGUC